UUGGUCCUAUCAGAGUGCCAUGCCUGCCAGACAUGCUCUGAAUGUAUACAGCAGUGCCACGAGAGCUGCUCUUCUCUGCUGAGAUGGUUAUGGUUAGAAUUGGUUUCUAGCACAAAGCCUUAGAUACAUUUAUUUUUUCUUUAAGACAGUAUUUUAGGGCUCAGAAACUAAUGCAGUCACUGGUCUUGCCCUUCAGCUGCAGCUGAAGAUCUUGCAGGGGAGCUUGGGACAAGAGAAUGUGCAAAGGUUGAUUUAUUUUUCCUUGGAUUCCUUGAUCUUGAGCUAGUUGGCUGUGACCCUUUGUAUAACUGCACUAGCCCAAUGUGUGCCAUAGGACAAUCAUUUUAAGUCAUGUGGAUUAUAUCCAAUGGGUUUUCCAGAGUUCAAGAAAAGUUGCAUGCUGCUCUGUUGGUGAGUGGGAAAUUAAUUGCUUCUAGCUGGUUCCUCGGUCACCAGGUGAUGUCUCCUCAGCCACGAGGCAGUCCUCCGGUGAGCAGGGUCUGCCUUCCAGUGGUGCAAAGUCUCUUAGCACAUGCAACAGAGGAGUGGGUGCUCUUGCCAAUGGGAGCCAUUGGUUUCCUGUAUUACCAAUGCACCCAAACUAUUGGCUGUCUAAACUGGUGGAAGCGAAGAACAGCUUACCUUAAGGCAUAGUCUGAAGGAGCUUGAAUAUUUGUGCAAAUGGAGAAGUGUAAACUUUGAACCCAAAAGUUUUUCCAGAUCAUUGGGAGAAUUUUCCUAUCCUAUGGAUGACUGAAUAGAUUGGAAGAGAUUACUUGAUGUUUCAGAUCCUCCUGGGAAGAUCUUUGUGCUACUGCAUCAGUGUGAGAUGCCAGUCUGCAUAGCCUCUGUAAGUUAUCUCUGGAGAUAGAGGCAACCAAGGGCAAUUCAGACCACCUGGAUUAGACUGCUUCUCUGACUCACCCCCUUAAUCAUGUGUUCUGAAUAACCUGAGACCCAUGAAAUAAAAGACAAACACAGAGAGGUAAAAGGUAUGUAUGUCAGGUCUCUGUCAGCAAAACAUCUCGUGCAAUCCAAACACAUUGUCUCUUAUGGUGGUAAAUGUGUCAAGCAAUGGAGCAAACAAUAAAGAUCAAUAAAGGUCAAUGAAGAUCAAAGAUCAACUGAUCCUAAAGAUCAAAGAAAAUAAUUCUGAAAACAUCUAAAGUGAAAUCCAAGUUCUCAUCACUUUCAGAAUUCUGCCAAAGUUUUGAAUACAGCCACUGGGACCAAGUUUGGGUCUAGAAAGUGGUAACGUCCAAACAUUUUUGGUUAGGUACUCAAGUAUAGGAGGUUGAUGGUGUGGAUUGUGUUUCUGAAAUACAAAGCUAUUAACCUAAGACAGGAUCUGUGCCUUUUGCCACAGCUGGUGGUGCUGCCAAGCAAGUAUUUUCAAACCAAAAGCUACAUCUGAGUGAAAGCAGUGACUGCCAGGAAGAGCCAGGACAGAUCUGACUGUGCGUGUGCCUGAGCCUUCAAAGAUGCCUUCACUGGAGUUUUCAGUCCAACCAGCUGCUUGCUUGAGUGCUGCUACUUGAAAGCAAUUCACAUGAAUUCAGUUUGAGAAGCACGCAUUAUCCCUGGUGCUAGGCAGAAUAACACGUUCCUUACAGUCCUUGAGGACGUGGAUCCAAGUGGAAAUUGGCUCGGCAUCCCCUCAGAUCACAUAAUGAAUUAUGUUUUGAAACUGUUUUUAAAAACAAGCAAAACUACUCUGAGGGUGGGAGUACUUACAGUCUCAUACUUUAAUAUAUUAAUUACAUUCAUUUGUCAUCACUUGAACCUAAAUACCCUUGGACAUCACUAAAGUUGCCAGAAUCCCAUUCCCCUCCCACAGCUGAAUGUCCAGAAGUAAUCUGCUUAAAGGAAAAUGAAGUGAGAGACUUUUGGAGUCCCACAAGACCCCGGGGCUACAAAGGUGGAGAGGAGGAGAGA